rnacentral:misc_RNA from 1 species
GGGAUUCUUCUUCAUGACAGUGUUCAUGUUUGCUUUGGCAAUACCUUACCAUCAUUGGACUCUACCAGACAACCGAAUUGGAUUUGUUAUCAUGUAUUCGCUAACCUUCUUCUUCUCCAAUUUUGGUCCAAAUUCCACCACAUUUGUGGUGCCUGCAGAGAUUUUCCCAGCAAGGUUAAGGUCUACCUGCCAUGGUAUAUCAGCUGCAUCUGGCAAGGCAGGGGCAAUUGUGGGUGCAUUUGGGUUCUUGUAUGCGAAGGAUGGUAUUGGAGUGAGGAAUACACUUUUAGUCGUCGGUGGAAUCAACUUCUUCGGAAUGAUAUUUACUCUCCUGGUGCCUGAGUCAAAGGGAAAAUCACUCGAGGAAAUGUCUGGUGAAGCUGAGGAAGAAAAUCAAAGUCAUCAAACAACAAGUGUCUAGGCAAACUAUUCCAGUUUAAUUAGGCUUUGUUUUUAUGUAAUAUCUUUAGGAUAAUCUAGAAGACUUAAUGGAAGUCGCAUACGUAAACCUAUGUGCAUAGGUCUUUGAUGCUUUAUAGGCUGAGAUACAAUAAGCUCUUGGGGAUGCUAUUUUGUCUUCUAGCUUCUAACUGCUUGAUCUUUGAUAUAGAUUGAGACUGUUUUAUAGUUAUCCGUUCUCACAUUGCAGGUACCAAUUUUAGUUCAAGUAUCUUGUACUUUUCUCAUACCCUGAAUCUUUCAAUCGCUGGUUAGCAGAAC